rnacentral:rRNA from 1 species
UACAGAGGUCUCAAGCGUUGUUCGGAUACAUUGGGCGUAAAGGGUGUGUAGGUGGCGCCGUAAGUCGGGUGUGAAAUUUCGGAGCUUAACUCCGAAACUGCAUUCGAUACUGCGGUGCUUGAGGACUGGAGAGGAGACUGGAAUUCAUGGUGUAGCAGUGAAAUGCGUAGAGAUCAUGAGGAAGACCAGUGGCGAAGGCGGGUCUCUGGACAGUUCCUGACACUGAGACACGGAGGCCAGGGGAGCAAACGGG